GACUUAAGCAUAUCAAUAAGCGGAGGAAAAGAAACCAACAGGGAUUGCUUCAGUAACGGCGAGUGAAGCGGCAACAGCUCAAAUUUGAAAUCUGGCCCACGUGGCCCGAGUUGUAAUUUGUAGAGGAUGCUUCGGGCGUGGUCCGGCCUAAGUCCCUUGGCACAGGGCGUCAUAGAGGGUGAGAACCCCGUAUGUGGCCGGGUGCCUAGGCCCGUGUGAAGCUCCGUCGACGAGUCGAGUUGUUUGGGAUUGCAGCUCAAAAUGGGUGGUAAAUUUCAUCUAAAGCUAAAUACCGGCCAGAGACCGAUAGCGCACAAGUAGAGUGAUCGAAAGAUGAAAAGCACUUUGGAAAGAGAGUUAAACAGUACGUGAAAUUGUUGAAAGGGAAGCGCUUGCGACCAGACUUGGGCGCGGCUGAUCAUCCGGCGUUCUCGCCGGUGCACUCGGCCGCGUGCCAGGCCAGCAUCGGUUCCGGCGGCCAGACAAAGGCCGGGCGAACGUGGCUCCCCCAGGGAGUGUUAUAGCGCCCGGCGCCAUGUGGCCUGCUGGGAACGAAGACCGCGCCUCUGGCUAAGAUGCUGGCGUAAU
rnacentral:rRNA from 1 species